AGUGAACGCUGGCGGUAGGCCUAACACAUGCAAGUCGAACGGCAGCACAGUAAGAGCUUGCUCUUACGGGUGGCGAGUGGCGGACGGGUGAGGAAUACAUCGGAAUCUACUUUUUCGUGGGGGAUAACGUAGGGAAACUUACGCUAAUACCGCAUACGACCUACGGGUGAAAGCAGGGGAUCUUCGGACCUUGCGCGAUUGAAUGAGCCGAUGUCGGAUUAGCUAGUUGGCGGGGUAAAGGCCCACCAAGGCGACGAUCCGUAGCUGGUCUGAGAGGAUGAGGGGGGAGACGGGGAGAUAGAUGGGGGAGAGAGCACGAGGGGGGGCAGGAGAGGCGAAGUGGGGAAAAGGGGGGCGACGGUGAGACAGCCAGUGGGAGGGCGGGAAGAAGGGCAUAGGGUUGUAAACGGCUUUGGGGGGGGAAGAAAGGCGCAGGGCGAAUAACACGGGGGGAUGACAGUAGAGGAAGAAGAAGCACCGGCGAGCUAAGGG
rnacentral:rRNA from 1 species